rnacentral:ncRNA from 2 species
ACGAUGGUACGCAACUGGCGAUAGGCGCGGCCCCCCGAGGUGCCGCCGCUGACGUGGAAACCGGCAAGGGACUGCCUCUUGCAAACCACUGGGGAGCGUGCCGCAAGAGCCCAAGGCCUUCUGCGUUCCGCCGUUCGCCUGGGCAGCCCUU